UUCUGAGUUUAGUUGGUAAUGUGGCAGUGUGGAGGCAGGGAGGGGUGAACCGAUGGUUGUAGAUGUGUAUAUACACAUACAUACUGUGUAUAUAUAUAUAUAUAUUAUAUAUACACACACACAACAACAACAACAACAGAACAGUAACCGACGUGCUGCGGUGAAAGCGGAGAUACUCACAGCUGAUGCGUGUUCAUCCGGGAGUACAGAGGAGCAUGGAUCCAUAAAGAUGUUGGAAUUAAUCGUCGUGAAGAUAUUUAUUUAAUUUAUUUUUCUAUAUAUAUAUAUAUACACAGAGAUUUUUUUGUACUUUUAUAUUUUGUACCUACGUCUCGGCCUGUGCGCCGAUAUUCAGGGACUUGUGAGGAUGGAUCAGGCGAAUAUCUUGAGGAAGUUCAUUCAGGGGGUUCACGCCAUGCGAUCCGGGGAACAGAGAGGAGAGGAUAACUUCGGCUCGGACUUCAUGAGAUUACGCAGAUUAUCGACCAAAUACAAGACGGAAAAAAUCUAUCCCACUAACGUCGGCGAGAGAGAAGAAAACGUGAAAAAGAACCGAUAUAAAGACAUCCUGCCGUUCGACCACAGUCGAGUGAAAGUGACAUUAAAAACAUCCAAUCAGGACACGGAUUACAUCAACGCAAACUUCAUUAAGGGAGUGGAUGGGCCUGAGGCCUACAUUGCCACACAGGGUCCGUUACCCAACACGGUCCUCGACUUCUGGAGGAUGAUCUGGGAGUACCACGUCGCAGUGAUCGUUAUGGCGUGUCGGGAGUUUGAGAUGGGCAGGAAAAAAUGUGAGCGGUACUAUCCCCAGUUUGGAGACGAGCCCACGUCCUUUGGCCCUUUCAGGAUCUCCUGUGAAUCGGAACAAGCUCGAACCGACUAUUACAUCCGUAGCUUAACAGUGGAGUUUGACAACGAUUCUCGUAGAAUAACCCAAUUCCAUUACAUCAACUGGCCAGACCACGAUGUUCCCUCAUCGUUCGACUCGAUAUUGGACAUGAUCGCGCUGAUGAGGGAGUACCAGGAGCACGAUGAGGUUCCUGUCUGCGUACACUGCAGUGCUGGAUGUGGGAGAACAGGUGCUAUUUGUGCCAUUGACUAUACAUGGAACCUGCUGAAAACUGGGAGAAUUCCUGAGGAUUUUAACGUCUUUCAAUUGAUUCAGGAGAUGCGGACGCAGAGGCACUCGGCCGUUCAGACGAAGGAGCAGUACGAGUUGGUCCAUAGAGCUAUCGCUCAACUUUUUGAGAAGCAGCUGUUGCUGCUGGAGAGUCCUACGAAUUCAGAGCUGACAGAUGGCAUGGAUGAAGGCAGUCCAGAAAAACCCAGCCAGAAUUCGGAUGAGGACCAGUGGGACACGCCUCCACCCAAACCACCGCGUAUUCGGAGUUCUCAGGUUGAGGGCGAGGUCCAAGAGGAAAUCCUGCAGGCCCCCGAGCCUCGGCCAGUGCCACCCAUCCUCACUCCGUCACCGCCUUCAGCGUUCCCCACGGUGAGCGAUGUGCGCCAGGAGAACGAUCGCUACCACCCCAAACCCGUGCUGCACUUGCUGGCUUCUGAACACGAACCUGACCUCAACGAGAACUACAGCGGGGGCCCACAGGGAGUGCCUGCCUCUGUGUCUGCCCCUUCCCCUCCAGAGUCCAAUAGACACACCCCUCUGAGUGUGGAGAUCAAGAAAGUGCCCUUGCAGGAGGGGCCGCGUAGUUUCGAGAGCAGUAGUGCCCUGCAACGAACGCAUGCUUUCAAAGUGCGCACCAAUAACAGCUCUCUGUCACAGGAUUCAGAAAACCCGCCCCGCCCUGACCACUUGCCUCUGCGCACCAACAAGGGCCAAGCGGGACGGACACGCUCUUCGAACACCACGCCCGUCUCCAGCAUGACCUCUGGCCCCACCCUUGAGGGUGCGGGUGCGCCCGUCAGGACCGCUCUGAGCUUCACCAACCCACUGCACUCAGACCACUCGGACCCAGAGCCCGAGGACGGCGAGGUCUCCCUGCUCGUUUCCCAUCACACUGAUUCCAAGUCUAGCGCGUCCACCACAGUGACCGGCAAAGUGUCAGCAGCACCCCACGAUGACACCGUCCCCAGGAAGGUUACCUUAAUGUCCAUAGUUGGUGUUUGCUCAAAGGCAGAUGCAGAGACAGACAGUGACGAGAGUGAAGACUCGCCUCCCCCUCUUCCCGAAAGAACCCUUGAGUCCUUCUUUUUGGCCACAGAUCCCGCGGAUGUGCAGGUGGAGCCGAAUGAAUGCACAGGAGCGUUAGGCGACGCCUCCCUCCAGCGAGCUCCAAACACACAAACCAAACAUCAGUCAGGAAGAGGGCAGGAGAACGGGAAGCACUCGGACACGGGGACCGUCAGCAAAGCAGACGCCAGAACGGGGUCCGAGACACUUUCACAGAUGAGUGAGUGGGUCCGACGCAUUCACGCGCGAGCCGUACGUCGGUGCCGGGAAGCCGCGGGUUCACCAGCGGAAUACGUCUAGGUCCUGUCGGUCGUCACGGAGCGACGCGUUCGAGCGCGGUCUCCACCCGCAGUUGCCUUGGAAUCCAGAUACAGCGCUUUUUCUGCGUGGAUUUGGCAACCGCUGCACACAACCCAAAGGCCCGAGAAACCCUCCAUCCGAGUGGACAUGAUCGAGGGCCUGCAGCAGUUUGACCCUAAACGCACCAUCACGUACACACAGACGUAACAUCACCGCUCCCCCGUCCUCUACGCGUUCUCGGAGAAAGAGGUCCAGAGCCUGAAUCUCUCGGCACCACGCACGCUUCGUUUCCAACAAAACAAUCGGUCAGGAUAGGACCAUUCAGAUAAUCUUCCAUGCUGCGGUCGCACUCGCCCGGUGCUCGACCGCCGUGGGCUCGCUGCAACGGUGCUACCUUUCCUCCUCGCCGGGACCACAAUCUGUUUCUAUUUCCCUCUAGCAAAAAACGACGCGGGAUUGGACGGCCCCAAACGUACAACGCAUUGCUGUCCUGGAACUCCGUCAUCUCUUUUCUAUACAGUUUGUGACUUCUAUGACAAUUCAAUACGAUAUAUACACACACACACACACACCCCCACACACCCCCACAGGGACCGAGAACUACUGUCUGUUUGUUUCUUCAUUUAUAUUUUGCUUUUUUCCUCCCUCGCUAACUCCUUGAUAGUCCUAUAUGCAUCGUUUUAUAGGUGUACAGAAUGUGUUAUUGCUAAAUAUUCUUAAUAACAGAAGAUGUAAGAAGUCUGUGCAUGAUGCCCCCAUGUACUGUGACCUGUAAAUUAUUUGCUCCUGUUAUCACAAUCCCCCCUGCCCCUCCCCCUCCCACUCCCCUUUUUUCCUUUUCAGUGUUUAUAGUUUGUUUUCCAAAGGUUAGCUGUUUUAUUGGCUAUUUCCUGAGAUCUCAUGGGCUCAAGAUUGUAAUAAUGCUUUUUGUAAAUUGUAUUCCAAAGGUUAUUUUUGUAUAUUCUCUUUUUAUUUCUUCCUCCUACCCCCCCCCCCCCCCCAUUAACCCCGUAUCACUGGCCUCCGAGCCUCACUGUGCCUUUUUGCAUGCCCUUCCUGUCGUGUGUGUGUGUGUGUGUGUGUGUGUGUGUGUGUGUGUGUGUGUGUGUGUGAGAGAGUGUGAGAGAGAGAGAGACUGAGACUGUGUGUGUGUGUGAUUGAAAGAGGGAUUUACAGCAUCGCAUUCGCGCCUCUGGGAUCUUUCUCAACAACCCUGUUAAUAUGUUGCAUAAACCAAUCAACUUCUCAGUAAAAAAAAAAAAAAAAAAGACAUGAAGAGGAAUGUACUGCUUUGGCUCGUCUUAUUUGUCAGUAAUAACCGGUGGGUGUAAAAACGACAUGGCUUUAAAAAAACAAAGUGUUUAUUAGCCCCACUGUGAAAUCGAAUUUCUCUCAAACACACCGCGCCGGUAUAGAGCCGAUCGGAACACAUCAGCACCUGUGGGAAGCGUGUGAUGAGUGUUGGAUAAGAACAGUGUGUACAGGAGAACUGAAUGGUGUAAUUGUGCAAACCUGAGCAGAAAGAACUGUGGAACUGGGAUUUUUUUUUUUCUCACUAUUAUAAACAAUGCACUGCUUUCCGAA